rnacentral:rRNA from 1 species
AAUAAGAGGUCCCGCCUGCCCGGUGACUAAGUUUAACGGCCGCGGUAUUUUGACCGUGCAAAGGUAGCGCAAUCACUUGUCUUUUAAAUGGAGACCUGUAUGAAUGGCAUCACGAGGGCUUAACUGUCUCCUUUCUCAGACCAAUGAAAUUGAUCUCUCCGUGCAGAAGCGGAGAUUACCACAUAAGACGAGAAGACCCUAUGGAGCUUUAGACACCAAGACAGCCUAUGUUAAGCAACCCCAUAUUAAGGGACUAAACUAGAUAACCCCUGUCCUAAUGUCUUUGGUUGGGGCGACCCUGGGGAGAUAAAGAACCCCCAUGUGGACUGGAAGCAUGCUUCUAGGACCAAGAGCAACAGCUCUAAGUAGCAGAAUUUCUGACCGACUAGAUCCGGCAAAGCCGAUCAACGGACCGAGUUACCCUAGGGAUAACAGCGCAAUCCCCUUUUAGAGGCCAUAUCGACAAGGGGGUUUACGACCUCGAUGUUGGAUCAGGACAUCCUAAUGGUGCAGCCGCUAUUAAGGGUUCGUUUGUUCAACGAUUAAAGUCCU